rnacentral:rRNA from 1 species
UACGUAGGGGGCUAGCGUUGUCCGGAAUCAUUGGGCGUAAAGAGCGCGUAGGCGGCCAGAUAAGUCCGGUGUGAAAGUCAAAGGCUCAACCUUUGAAUGCCGCUGGAAACUGUCUGGCUAGAGUCCGGGAGGGGCGAGUGGAAUUCCUGGUGUAGCGGUGAAAUGCGUAGAUAUCGAGAGGAACACCUGCGGCGAAGGCGGGUUGCUGGGCUGAUACUGACGCUGAGGCGCGAAAGCUAGGGGAGCGAACGGG